GGUGUACCGAUGUCUCCUGGGUAUGGCGGAUGCCAAACCGCAACGCUGCCGCCUUACUACACAACAACAACAUACGCAACAACCGGUUCCUACACCACCAAGGCUCAAGAGUGUUACAAUUCAUGAUGCCCCGAGUUGCUACCCCGAACCCCGAGUUGCAUCACCAGAGGCGGAGUACUACACCGAGGCUCCUAAGUACUACAACCGCAAUACUACACGUCUAUGUAUGCUGCCCCUGCCUACUACACCGAGGCCCCGCAUUACUACGACACCGAAGCGCUCAAGUACUACACUACAACCUACGCUGCCCCGAGCUACUACACCUACGUACCGAAGAAUUACUGUGCGUAAAAGGAGUCGUUGAAAAAAGAAGUCGUGCCCAAACUGCAGUGCCUUAUCUGUCGCCAACAGGAUUCCUCAUCGUGUAACCGAUUCUCAAUUAUGGUCAACUAUGGCGUCGUGCUCCUGUUGGUUGUUGUAUCGUUGAUGGCUGGAUCGACCACUGAUGUACCAAUGUCUCCGCAAACAAAACCGCAACGCCGCACCUACCUCCACCUCCUAACUUACGCAACGAGGUUCCUGCACCGAAGUCUUCAAGUACUACACCACUAAAGCACCGGAGUUUUAUACCACAACUUACGCUGCCCCGAGUCACUACACUGACGCCCUGAAGUAUUACUCUGCCCCGAGUUACUACACCAUCAAGGCGACGGAGUACUACAUGACAACGCAUGCUGUCCCAUCCGACUACACCGAGGCUCCCAACUGCUACCCGAGGUUCCCGCUGAUUACUUCGCCAAAACGGUCGAGUACUACACCGAAGCGGGAAAGUCCUUCUGUGCCCCGAUCUACACAACAACAACUGAGGCGACCAAGAAUUACGCAGUCCCGACUUGACACACAAAAGCUGCUCUUUCGUGUUAAAUUGAACUGAAACACUACACUGAUGCUCCAGUCUACUACACCACGACCUACGCUACACCUAGCUACAACACCGCAGCUCCCAAGUAGUACACCGAAGAAGCUGCCUAUUGCACAACUACGUACGCUGCCUAGUUUACUACACCGAGGAAUUCAAUUAUAACCCUGUCUGGGCUUUCUUCGUUGCCUUCCAAAUUUUAUUCUUCACAUGGAGAACUUAAGAAUAAUUUAAGUAAUUAUGUUGGUCAAGUUGUAACUAUCAGGCUACAGAAAUAGUUAAUUGAUGACUGAGUUAUUACUUUGCUUCUCAAUUGUAGAAAUUUCGAUUUAGUGUACAAUGGACAUGCGGUUUUGGUGCCGGUCGAUAUGUCAAUCCCUAUUCCAUUAAUCACUGUUAUUGAAAGGUUUGGAUGUCAAGUGUCAACUCAGUGGAUGAAUUCUAUACAAAGACAAUUAUCACUCCUGAAGUUGUAGCAGUGGAAGGAGUGGUGUUGGUACUAGAACAUUUUUAUGGCAAAAAGAGGGUUUUGCAGAAUGUUUUAUCAAAACCUUUGUUUUUGUUUGACUGUGUAGUUUGACUGUUAUUUUUUUCUUGGAUUAAGUCCGUCUCCUUGCCUGUGCAUGUGGUAAAGAAUCCAUUCAAUAAUUCAACUAAAUAUCGAAAUUUUUCGAUAUUUUCCUGCUGGUCAUGAGGAUUGGAUUUGUGCCUUAGCCUAUAUUGUGAAGUUAUGAUUUGUCCCCCAUCUUUUGGAUGUUUCGGGAUCCUUCUGGAGCAGAAUAGAAAGUUGUCCGAGUUUUCGAAGUUCCUCACUAUUUUCUAUGGAAUUUGGUUUAAAUUUGUCGUAUUGAUCAACCAAUGACAUAACGUAAUAUUGUGUUUUUUUUAAUCAACCUUCCCGCUUGUAUUCAUAAUUUUCGCAUUUUUUCGACGGUACUCGAUGGUAAUGGCAUGCAUCAGUCUGCUGCGAGUAGUCUAUGGAUCUGGUGUUAUGCUGAAAUGUAGAAUCAUGACUUGAAGUGGAAUAACUGCAAGAAGACUUCUUGAAAUGGUAAUUGGAUAAUCCAAUUUGGAUUGAAAUUAUGUUGAAUAAUAUCCUCAAAAGAUAGGUAUAGAUGGUUGGUAUAGUAGUUGAAGUCUAGGAAAAAUUAUAAUCUACUUGAUUUUAUUUAUAUUGAUUUUAGUAAUUGCUAAUUGGAAAACUUUGGUUUACUAUAGACUUAAAUUUCUUGUAUCAAAAUAAUUUUUAAGAGCUGUUGCUUAAUUCAAUUAACUCCUGUCAUUUAAA